rnacentral:lncRNA from 1 species
UUGUAACUCAUAACAUGUAACGUAGGUAAAGCCCGGCACAUUGCCCAGUGGGGUGCUAGGGAUCACAGAACAUCCUGAGUGGGAAGGGACCUACAAGGAUCAUCAAGUCCAACUCCUGGCUCCACACAGGACCAGCCAAAAAUCAGGCCCUGUGUCUGAGAGCAUUGUCCAAACGCUUCUUGAACUCCACUUCUUGAGCUCCGGCAGUCUCGGUGCUGUGACCACUGCCCUGGGGAGCCUGUCCCAGUGCCCGACCACCCUCUGGGUGCAGAACCUUUCCCUAACCCCCAGCCUGACCCUCCCCUGUCCCAGCUCCAUGCCGUUCCCUCGGGUCCUGUCGCUGUCCCCAGAGAGCAGAGCUCAGCGCCUGCCCCUCCGCUCCCCUCGUGAGGGAGCUGCAGGCCGCCAUGAGGCCUCCCCUCGGCCUGCUCUGCUCUGGGCCGAACAAACACAGGGACCUCAGCUGUUCCUCAUGUGUCUUGCCCUCCAGACCCUUCACCAUCUUUGUAGCCCUCCUUUGGGAGGGCUAAUAGGGCUAAUUAGGACACUCCCUAAUAGUUUUAUAUCCUUAGGAGAUACAAAGCAUCAGGCUAUAGGGGACAAAUGCAACCCAGGCUGUGCCAGUGGGGUUCUGUUCUCCCAUCACUGUGCCCUUUCCCAUUUACAACAUUAUUCAGAAAGCAAUGUCUGAAGAGCUUCUGGCACAUCUCAUUGUGCACACAGCAUUCAUACCCAACUGUCCAGUUUUGCUACCAUUGUUAACGAUCUCCCAGUCAACCCAGCAGUGACUUCAGAGAAUUCCUUAUUUCUUCAAGACAGAAAAGACAAUGCAAAAUGCUGUGGCACUCACAAAGAUCAUCAAAGGAACAAGAGUUCCACCUUCAGGUCUGGGAAAACACUACCUCUGAUGGCAAAAGAUACCUCUGAAAAAAUGUUAAUGUGCAGAUGGAGUUGGACUUGCUGAAUUACAGAUGGACUCGGACUUCUAUUGCAUGUCUAUGAUCAUUUUUGAAGGGCCUCUUACAGAUCUGAUGGCUGCUUGUAUUCUUAUACUGUUAUCAGAGAAACUGUUCUGCUAAUAACAGAACAAUAAAAAUACAGACCAUGAAGACUUCUAAAAGGGU